rnacentral:rRNA from 1 species
CCUACGGGAGGCAGCAGUGGGGAAUAUUGCACAAUGGGCGAAAGCCUGAUGCAGCGACGCCGCGUGAGGGAUGACGGCCUUCGGGUUGUAAACCUCUUUCAGCAGGGAAGAAGCGAAAGUGACGGUACCUGCAGAAGAAGCGCCGGCUAACUACGUGCCAGCAGCCGCGGUAAUACGUAGGGCGCAAGCGUUGUCCGGAAUUAUUGGGCGUAAAGAGCUCGUAGGCGGCUUGUCACGUCGGUUGUGAAAGCCCGGGGCUUAACCCCGGGUCUGCAGUCGAUACGGGCAGGCUAGAGUGUGGUAGGGGAGAUCGGAAUUCCUGGUGUAGCGGUGAAAUGCGCAGAUAUCAGGAGGAACACCGGUGGCGAAGGCGGAUCUCUGGGCCAUUACUGACGCUGAGGAGCGAAAGCGUGGGGAGCGAACAGGAUUAGAUACCCUGGUAGUCCACGCCGUAAACGGUGGGAACUAGGUGUUGGCGACAUUCCACGUCGUCGGUGCCGCAGCUAACGCAUUAAGUUCCCCGCCUGGGGAGUACGGCCGCAAGGCUAAAACUUAAAGGAAUUGACGGCUGNGAGUGCGACGCGACGACGAGGGAGAGG